AUGGCGUGUCUACCCACUGGCCAUCUCUCAGUGUCCUACCUCAAAUGCACACGUGUCCAACAUGCGACGCCCGUCCUCACCUCCACCACACUGGCUUCUCUCGUAUUUUCCAUCUCCCAUCUGUGGCACCUGUGUUCCAAGUCUCAGCAAAGGACACUCCUACACAUGUACUGGCCUAAAACACAAACACGACAGCGUCCCUCCCUGGCCCGCUCUGUGCUGCCGCGACACCCUCUAACCGUGGUGUCCACUGCACUCUCAGGACCGCAGCACUUGGCAUAUACAAGCAGCCCGGUACGUGUCCACCCAACAGAGGAGGGAAGGAGUUGUGAUCAAGCUGGCAUGAACAAAAUAUAUCCCCCAGAUCCUGGGAAAUGUCCAGUGACGACCCCACCACCACCUCUCCUUUCUGUCCUCCUCCUCCUACCAGUCCCAAGAGGCCAGCUCUUUUGCCCUCUAUGCCAGCGUCCGACUGGCAGCCUCCAAUCGCAUCACCCUACCUGUUCCCAAAUCAGCACACCCAGGCCUCUCAGAAUCCAGGCUGCAUUCCUGCCAGGGCCUGGGCUCACCCUCACCCCGGGAGCCCGCCCUGCUGAGCAUACGUACACUUCCCAAACAGCCUCUCCCAGGACAGCUCCCCAUUCUCCUCCCCCCCGCCACCGCCCCAGGGUGUACAGGACACUCUCUGUGCCAGGACCACCUGCUCCUCUCAAUUUAGCUGCCUACUUAGAUAUCUGCACACAUAUGUGUUCGUUCUACACCUCUCCUUGCUCUGCGAAGGGUUUCUGCAGUUUGUGGAGAAGAAAAUGCAAAGUGUCAACAGGCCACCACCACAUUCAGCUCUGCAGGGUGUUCACUGCACAAGAGCACCCCCUGAGGGGGACAGUAGGGGUCCAGAUGCAGCCCUUAUCUGUUCACCAAGCCUUGCAGCCCAGCGCAGACUACACCUUCCCAGAGAGGGUUCCUUUUCCUGGCUGGCCCAGUGUCUUCCAUGGGCCCUGA
rnacentral:lncRNA from 12 species